UGCUCCCUCUCUCUAAUCCUUGCUAUCUGGGUGCUAGUGCUGUCUCAAUGCAAUGCACCUAGGCAAGGAUUCAGAGAGGGUGAGCU
rnacentral:pre_miRNA from 1 species